rnacentral:lncRNA from 1 species
GCUUGAUUAACAGAUAAGAAGGUGCUACUGUUUUCAUUUUUGGAAGAAGAGAUGAAAUAUGUUUUUACUCGAUGGCUGAAGUGCUAAUUUCAGUGGAGAAAGCGGUGCUAAUGCAAGGCAAUUAAUCAUCUAUUUUGGUAAUUUACAGUAAUAAAUUAAUUCUCAUGGCACAGAGUGUGCUUCUAUAGAACAAACUCAAGGCUGUAGGAUAUGCCUCCCUGUAGAACUCAAAGCAGGCAUGUCCAACUCCAACACCACAGAAUGUAUGGAGCUGCAGUCAGAUCAGUAACUCAACAUCAGGUAUUCAGUUCAAAAUCUGAUCAUGUCUCUCUACCAAACUUCUACAAGCCCUCUCUUAGCACAGAGAUAUCCCUCUCUUCACAAUCACAUCUUAUCCACAUCAUCACUUUUUGGCAGCACAGACAUUUGUGAACAACCACAUUCAAGGAUGAAGCUCAGGAAGAGUCACAUUUCAUCCAACAUCUCUGACCAACACCACGAGACCUCACUGAGAGCUGCAGCCACUGCCACCGAACCACACCGAUGUGUUGGCUUCACAACUGCAAGGUCACAGAUCCCAGUAGUUUGAUGGCUUUGCUGCUCUCAUUUCUGUUUUAAUAAAAAAUAUUAAAAAUUAAAAUAAGCUUUAUUACUAAUGUACAUUAACUACAUCCUAUAUUUUACGAGGGCUGCUCCAAAAGUAAUGCCUCCUGUUUCAUGACGUCCACCCACCACAUCAGAGGCGGAUGGUGGUGGUACGGCAGUAGAGGUGGAACCUUCCCACCAAUAUCCCAUUCCAUGUUGUUGCCGUGUGACAGAUGGCAGCAGAGGGGCAGUCUGACACAGCGGUGUCUGACAUGGAAGUGCAGAUGAAGCAAAGGUGUGUCACUGAAUUCCUACAGGCAGAACAAUUGUCACCCACUGACAUUCAUUGACAUUUGCUGAGUGUUUCUGGAGACCAAAGAGUGCAUGUGAGCACAGAGAGGGGUGGGUGGUGCAUUUCAGCACUGGUGACAGUGGUCGCCUCCUCUGGUGCAGGUUUUGUCAUGUGCAGCAUGCACCUCUUGUUCACUGCUGGUGAAAAUGCACAGCUAAUAGUGGUGCCUAUGUUGAAAAGCAGUGUUUUGUUGCUGAGAAC